CCUACGGGAGGCUGCAGUGAGGAAUAUUGGUCAAUGGACGAGAGUCUGAACCAGCCAAGCAGCGUGAAGGAUGACUGCCCUAUGGGUUGUAAACUUCUUUUAUCUGGGAAUAAAAUGUUCCACGUGUGGGAUUUUGUAUGUACCUUAUGAAUAAGGAUCGGCUAACUCCGUGCCAGCAGCCGCGGUAAUACGGAGGAUCCGAGCGUUAUCCGGAUUUAUUGGGUUUAAAGGGAGCGUAGGUGGAUUGUUAAGUCAGUUGUGAAAGUUUGCGGCUCAACCGGAAAAUUGCAGUUGAAACUGGCAGUCUUGAGUACAGUAGAGGUGGGCGGAAUUCGUGGUGUAGCGGUGAAAUGCUUAGAUAUCACGAAGAACUCCGAUUGCGAAGGCAGUUCACUGGACUGCAACUGACACUGAGGCUCGAAAGUGUGGGUAUCAAACAGGAUUAGAUACCCGGGUAGUC
rnacentral:rRNA from 1 species